rnacentral:rRNA from 1 species
GAUGAACGCUGGCGGCGUGCCUAAUACAUGCAAGUCGAGCGAACAGACGAGGAGCUUGCUCCUUCGACGUUAGCGGCGGACGGGUGAGUAACACGUAGGUAACCUACCUAUAAGACUGGGAUAACUUCGGGAAACCGGAGCUAAUACCGGAUAAUAUUUCGAACCGCAUGGUUCGAUAGUGAAAGAUGGCUUUGCUGUCACUUAUAGAUGGACCUGCGCCGUAUUAGCUAGUUGGUAAGGUAACGGCUUACCAAGGCAACGAUACGUAGCCGACCUGAGAGGGUGAUCGGCCACACUGGAACUGAGACACGGUCCAGACUCCUACGGGAGGCAGCAGUAGGGAAUCUUCCGCAAUGGGCGAAAGCCUGACGGAGCAACGCCGCGUGAGUGAUGAAGGUCUUCGGAUCGUAAAACUCUGUUAUUAGGGAAGAACAAAAGUGUAAGUAACUGUGCACGUCUUGACGGUACCUAAUCAGAAAGCCACGGCUAACUACGUG